UGCAACACCUGAAGGUGUCCAGCCAAGGGGGAACCGUUCUUUUACAUCUCUUGUUCACACUUGGGAUUUAGGUCUGCAAGCUUUUCCUGCUGUUCAGACAUUAACUAACUGAAAAACCUAGAGAAGGCAGCGAGACAUCAGUACGGACAGUAUUUCAUGACAGCUGGGCAGAGACUGCAGAUAGGUGAAGGGAGAAGGAGAGACAGAAAAAACAACACAGAGAGAACAAGAGACAGUGUUUUCUAACUCUGGGGCAAUGAUGAGUGUGGCAACAGAUGUCUCCCUCUGAAACAGGCUGGUGGAUCUCAGUCUGGUUUCCAGGUGUCCAUGGAUUCUGGGGAGCUGCAGGAAGAGGAGG